UACGGAGGUGGCUAGCGUUGUUCGGUUUUACUGGGCGUAGAGCGCACGUAGGCGGCUGGGUAAGUCAGGGGUGAAAUACUGCGGCUUAACCGUAGAAUUGCCUCUGAAACUACCUGGCUAGAGGGCGGCAGGGGAGAGCGGAACUUCUGGUGGAGCGGUGAAAUGCGUAGAUAUCAGGAGGAACGCCGGUGGCGAAAGCGACUCUCUGGGCCGUUCCUGACGCUGAGUGUGCGAAAGCUAGGGGAGCAAA
rnacentral:rRNA from 1 species